rnacentral:lncRNA from 1 species
UUAUGAAUAAGUAUGUGAACUGUUAAACGGUCUAUUUGACUGAUGUUAUGAACUUAUGAUUAUUCUAUAUUUACUGAGUUUUCCUAAAAGAUUAUUAGAGAGGCUAACAUUAUGACAUAUGCAGAUACAGUAGAUGUUAUCAAUUAUGAACUUAUGAUUAUUCUAUACUUACUGAGUUUUCCUAAGAGAUUAUUAGAGAGGCUAGCAUAAUGACAUAUGUAGAUGCGGUAACAAUACACUUAC